GACGUCGUGUCUGAGCGGGUAACGGAGCAAGCUUACGCGCAGUAGGCGUGAGUUCGAUUCCCACGGAGAUCA